rnacentral:rRNA from 1 species
UGGGGAAUUUUGGACAAUGGGGGAAACCCUGAUCCAGCCAUCCCGCGUGUGCGAUGAAGGCCUUCGGGUUGUAAAGCACUUUUGGCAGGAAAGAAACGUCAUGGGUUAAUACCCCGUGAAACUGACGGUACCUGCAGAAUAAGCACCGGCUAACUACGUGCCAGCAGCCGCGGUAAUACGUAGGGUGCAAGCGUUAAUCGGAAUUACUGGGCGUAAAGCGUGCGCAGGCGGUUCGGAAAGAAAGAUGUGAAAUCCCAGAGCUCAACUUUGGAACUGCAUUUUUAACUGCCGGGCGAGAGUGUGUCAGAGGGAGGUGGAAUUCCGCGUGUAGCAGUGAAAUGCGUAGAUAUGCGGAGGAACACCGAUGGCGAAGGCAGCCUCCUGGGAUAACACUGACACUCAUGCACGAAAGCGUGGGGAGCAAACAGG